rnacentral:lncRNA from 1 species
CUGAUUGUGUGUCUGCUGAUACAGGAAAUUCAGGUCUGUCUGUUCCUCUAGGGGAUCCUAUUUCCAGUCAACAUGUGAUACCAGGGUUGAGCAGACAGCAAUGUGAUCAGAUUGUGAGCUUAAUUUGACAGACUCUUUCUACUAGUGAUCAAGCUCCUUCUCCCAUGAGUUCUGCUAAUUUUGCUCGUACUUUGAUGUCUGAGAGUCUUGUUUCUGAUUCCAAGUUGUGCAUGCUUACAAACAUAAAUU